UACAGAGGUCUCAAGCGUUGUUCGGAUUCAUUGGGCGUAAAGGGUGCGUAGGCGGCGCGGUAAGUCGGGUGUGAAAGUCUCGGAGCUUAACUCCGAAACUGCAUUCGAUACUGCCGUGCUUGAGGACUGGAGAGGAGACUGGAAUUACGGUGUAGCGGUGAAAUGCGUAGAUAUCGUAAGGAAGACCAGUGGCGAAGGCGGGUCUCUGGACGUUCCUGAC
rnacentral:rRNA from 1 species